GGCAAAUAAAAUGUGAUCAAGGGACGAACUUCGUUGGUGCAAGGCGUGAGUUUGUUGAAGCACUGAGAGAGAUGGAUCAAGAGGAACUCAAGGAGCUGGGAUGUGAGUUCAUCAUGAACACCCCAGCUUCAAGUCACAUGGGUGGCGUUUGGGAAAGACAAAUCCGCACCAUCAGAAGUGUCUUGAUGGCUAUUCUAGACCAGUCAGCCCAACAACUUAACUGCUCCUCUCUACGAACGUUCAUAUACGAAGUCAUGGCGGUCGUGAAUAGCAGACCUCUAACUACUGAUAACCUAAAUGAUACAUCCAGUCCAGAGCCCUUGACACCAAACCAUAUCCUGACCAUGAAGUCUACGAUCAUAUCCCCUCCUCCUGGGAAAUUCGUCAAGGAAGAUCUUUACCUCCGCAAGAGAUGACGUCAAGUUCAACUCCUAGCCAAUAACUUCUGGUCAUGAUGGAAAAGAGAGUAUCUCUUAAAUCUUCAGCACAGACAGAAGUGGACCAAUGACCGCAGAAACGCAAAGGUCAAUGACAUUGUUCUGCUAAAGGAUGAUGCAGCACCACGGAAUCAGUGGAAGUUGGCAAGGAUCAGUGAAGUUUAUCCCGGGAAGGACGGAAGAGUGAGCAGACUCCAGUUGCUGAUAGGUGACUCAACUCUCGAUGAAAAUGGAAAGAGCACCUCCAAACCGGUUCACCUGGAGAGACCCAUUCAGAAGAUAGUAACACUGGUGGAAGCAGACUGAAGAUUCCAGUAUCUUACGCUCACCUUAAGUCUAUUAGAGGCCCAUAGUUAGAUAGUAUUUUGAAAUAAUGUUUUAUAUGCAGUAUGUAUGUCUCUUUAAGUUGUUCUAAGAAAUCACAUGUGAUUUGGUGGGUGUGUAACUGCCCCACAUCGGCAGUUAGUUAAAUUCUAAACCUCACGUUUUUUGGUUCCUACCUGUAAUAGUGGCGUUCCUAAGGGCGGAACUAAAUUGCCGACAUAGUUUCCGGGGAGCACGGUUGUUGGCGCACCUUGGAGGGCAGCAAAGAAAAAGGAAGCAACACAAAGGGGAUAAACCGCCAAAAUAAGUUAAAUGUUAAAUAAGCAAGAUCAUAAAGAAAGACAGAAGCCAUGACUAAGAAGAAAUCAAGAAAUACCUCUUAAGUAGUAAGCAGUGGACGAGGUUAUAGGUUCCGCUAUGGAAAGGGAUGGAAGAAUGGGCAACCACUCGGAUGGAGGGAAUUCGCGCCCACGCAAACGCGGGAGGUGAAGACUCAUCAGACGGAAAUUAUUAAUCUAUGCCCACGAAAACUCGGGAAGCAUGAUAAGAUUCUGGGAAGAAAUAUCAUUGUCUUGUUGUUGUUAAUAGUCACAUAUAUGUAUAUCUGGUUAUCUGAUUAUCUGAUUAUUUGGUUAUCAUAAAUGAUGGUUUAACAUAAAUGAUAAAAGGAAGGAAUGUUAAUUCUGGUCAAAUUGGAGAUGCCAGGACACUACAAUUGAGUAAAGGCUUCUGGGCUGCUAGGCCAUUUGGUCAAAUUAAAUGAACCUUCUGCAGAAAUGGGACAAGCUGCAGAAUGUUACCAGCUUGUAUAGAGCCUGGAUAAGAGUUGCCAGGAAAGAAUGGGCAUUUGCAGUUUCUUACAAUUAGGAGUAAAUUGCAUGAAACGGAUUGGGUAAAUGCAAACCAGACAUACACAUUGUAAAUAUUGUUGCAAAGCUUUACUUUGCUAGAUGUUGAUUGGGUUAAGUGUUGAGCAUUAUCUGGGUUUCUUGAACAUCUAGGCACAUGUUGCAUAAUUCAUCUCUGUUAACUUGCAUGUAGAAACUUCGUCAGAUACAUUGUAUUAGUUUCUGUAUUAUUCGGUUAGGGGAAUGUCUAUCAUGUAGUGUGUUAAUCGAUAUCGGUUAUUGGAAUGUAAUGAGAUCACCCCCAUAUGGUUCGGCCCCUCAAGGUUCGGGGACCUAUAAAAGGUAGCUCCCAUGAGGUCCUGUGUCGAUCUUCUGGGAGAACGCUCAGGACAGCAUGACCUUUUGGAGUGUCUCUGCUUGCACGAGGCUAGAAGGACUUGGCCAAGCAGAUACGAGGAUCGAACCCGCGGUUGUUAGGUAUAGCAGUGGGGAAGUGUUAUUGUGUUUUUCCAAAAUAAAGUUUUGAUGCGCAAG